CUACGCACUCCUACGGGAGGCAGCAGUGGGGAAUAUUGCACAAUGGGGGAAACCCUGAUGCAGCCAUGCCGCGUGUGUGAAGAAGGCCUUCGGGUUGUAAAGCACUUUCAGUCGUGAGGAAGGUAGUGUAGUUAAUAGCUGCAUUAUUUGACGUUAGCGACAGAAGAAGCACCGGCUAACUCCGUGCCAGCAGCCGCGGUAAUACGGAGGGUGCGAGCGUUAACCGGAAUUACUGGGCGUAAAGCGCAUGCAGGCGGCCUGUUAAGUCAGAUGUGAAAGCCCCGGGGCUUAACCUCGGAAUUGCAUUUGAAACUGGCAGGCUAGAGUCUUGUAGAGGGGGUAGAAUUUCAGGUGUAGCGGUGAAAUGCGUAGAGAUCUGAAGGAAUACCAGUGGCGAAGGCGGCCCCCUGGACAAAGACUGACGCUCAGAUGCGAAAGCGUGGGGAGCAAACAGGAUUAGAUACCCUGGUAG
rnacentral:rRNA from 1 species